UUGCUUUCAGCAUCGACAUCCAAUCAGUCAAGCUGACUCAGGAGGGGGGAUCCGUUGGAUACUCGGGCAUUGGAACGAAGUCCAUACCACUCAAUAUUUUGAAAGGCGUGACUCCUGUGCUACUGUGAACAGCAUUAUUAUACCUCAGCAAAAGAUAAAAGGUCUGCCCAAUUGGACUGCUGAUAGUUUACCUAGCACCUCAGUUUCUUACACUGCUCAUCAGAAGUAAUAGAUGUCAAGUUCCAUCAUUAGAAGUUAAUCUGAAAGUGAAUUUAUGUUCGUUUUGGAGUGGGAAAGAAGAAGAUGGAACAAGCAUGGGACAUGAUGCAAAGCAGGAUCCUCAGUGUACCAAAAGCUCAUGUAAAAACAACAUAGGGAUUGUGAAAAUGCUGCACAUCCUGAAAAAAUCCUAUCCCACAAACUUCAUAGAUAUUUUAUAUUUACAGACCAAAGUUAACUUUCAGUUUUUUUCAAAUCAGUAUACAAAAACAUAAUUUUUGACGUAAUUCCUUGAACAGAAGCUGAAUGCUCUACGUCAGUCUGAAACAUUAUACAAGGAAGAUGCCAUUUUAGAGUUGGAAUCACCUAUUCCUUUUUAUCACAGUAAAGAAGACAAACUAUGAGAUACAGAGAUUCUUCAAUAUGUUGUUCACACUUUUUAUGGAAAAUAAUGCAAUGUUUUUUCUUUGAAUCUUUGCAAAUUUUAUAAGUAAAGCUUUGUCACAGUUUAGUCCAAAGAACAAAUGCAAUCAAAGCUAAUUCUGAAUUAAUAUUUAUGAUCCAAUUAGAGUUAUUGAAAUCCAUAAUCUCUUCUCAUUUCUGCAUAAUAAUUUUUUUCUGCUUGUAAAUCUCAGUGCAGAAAUUUUGAAAAUUCAUAAUCUAGCAGCUAUGCAAUAUUUUUUUUAAAAAAAACCUUAUAGGGACAUGCAAAUAACAUCUUUCAAAAUGCUGCCAGUUGAUCUAAUUUAACGGGUAUUAUAUUUUUAAUGUUUCAGGUAGUUAUUUUCUUAUACUAUCACAUUUACCAAGCCAUUUUUCCUCAGUGGCCACAAAGAUAGGCAAGAUGAAUGUUUCAUUGGGAUAACAUCUGGCCUUUUAAAAACUUUUAUAUUAAGAUUACUGUAUCUCAAUGGCUGGUCAUAGCAGAUUAUAGUAAUUUGCAACGAAGUCGUUGAUAUAGUAGCUGUAAUCCUACACCCAGACAUAUGUGCUGCUUGUCUGAUAAAAACAGGCUUUAUAUUUUCUGGGUUUAGGAUUAACAACAUUGCCUGUAUUCUUGAAUCUGUAAUACUUUGCUACACAAUUGUGUCUUAUAAAUUGUAAAAAUGGGCUUUCUCUGAUAGGGUAGAGAAGAAGCUCAUCAAGUAAAAUUAUGAGUUGUUAAUAUAUUUGAGGAUGUUUUUGGAAGCAAUUAAAGUAUCUUGUAAAGUUUGAUAACAUGAAAAAGUAUUUAAUAAAGGUGAUGGAAACUUAACAUGAAACUUAAAAUAAGAAAAAUAAGAUAUGUAUCAGAUUAUUUCAUUAUAUUUAUGGAUUCUGUUCCCCUAAGAUCAUUUUACAAUUUUCUGCUGACUAUUAUUGUUAUUAACUACUGCUGUUACAUUGUGCAUAAUUCAUAUGCAUAUAGAAAUAUUUAGUACAUUGUUGUACAUUCACAACUGUUAAAAUUUUAGACCAAAUAUUAAAUUCAUGAAUAAUGUCU